rnacentral:rRNA from 1 species
CUGGUUGAUCCUGCCAGUUCAAUAUGCUUGUUUCAAAGGCUAAGCCAUGCAGGCCCAAGUUCAAACAGAAAAAGUGAAACCGCGAACAGCUCAGUACAACAGGCUUAAUCAAAGAGAAAUGAAUAACUUACAUGGAUAACUGUGGUAAUUCUAGAGCUAAUACAUGCCUAAAAUGGGUCUCUUCGGAGUCCCUGCGUUUAUUAGCGUCGAAGCCAGCCCGACUUCGGUCGGUAACUUCGGUGAAACAGAAUAACCACGAAUGCUGACCCGUAAGACUCGUUCUUAGGGCGCAUCCCAUGAAAGCCUGCCUUAUCAACUUGAUGGUGAGCUCUUAGCUUACCAUGGUUACCACGGGUAACGGGGAAUUAGGGUUCGAUUCCGGAGAGGGAGCCUGAGAGACCGCUACCACAUCCAAGGAAGGCAGCAGGCGCGCAAAUUACACACUGUCCGAUGGACGAUGUAGUGACGGAAAAUAACAAUUCGGGGCCUUAACCGGCUCCGGAAUUGGAAUGAGAACAGUGUCGUGAUCUUAACGAGGAUCAAUCGGAGGGCAAGUCUGGU